GUUGUUUUUUAUAACAAAUAUUUUCUGCCCGCGUGUGUGGUGUAGACGGCCGCGGUAUUUUGACCGUGCAAAGGUAGCAUAAUCAUUUGUCCUUUAAUUGGGGGCUGGUAUGAAGGAAAGUUUGAGAUUCUGACUGUCUCUUUUUUAUUUUAUAAUUUGCUGUUUUUAUGAGGAAGUAAGAUUUGCGGAGGAGGACAAGAAGACCCUUUUAAGCUUUAUUUUUGUUUUUUUGCUUGUUCUUUUAAGUAUGUUGGUAGUAAUUGUUGAAAUUUGGUUGGGGUGAUUGGAAAAGACAAGAUCUUUUCUGGAAGUUUUAACUUUUUGUUUUAGUUUGAACCAAUAUUUUUGGUUGAAAGAAUUAGUUACUAAAGGGAUAACAGCGUAAUCUUUUCAGAGAGUUCUUAUUGAGGAAAGGGAUUGCGACCUCGAUGUUGACUUAUUUUAUCCUUUUAAGGUGCAGUAGCUGGUAGGGUUAGUCUGUUCGACUAU
rnacentral:rRNA from 1 species